rnacentral:rRNA from 1 species
GACGAACGCUGGCGGCGUGCUUAACACAUGCAAGUGGAGCGACGAACCAGGGCUUGCCCUGGGGCAGAGCCGCGAACGGGUGAGUAACACGUGGGUAACGUGCCCCGAUGAUCGGGACAACCCGGGGAACCCGGGCUAAUACCGAAUGUGCUCCCCUCACACCAGUGAGGGAUGGAAAGGAAGCUUCGGCCUCCGCAUCGGGAUCGGCCCGCGGCCCAUUAGCUUGUUGGUGAGGUAACGCUCACCAAGGCUGCGAUGGGUAGCUGGUCUGAGAGGACGAUCAGCCACACUGGGACUGAGACACGGCCAGACUCCUACGGGAGGCAGCAGUGGGGAAUCUUGCGCAAUGCGCGAAAGCGUGACGCAGCAACGCCGCGU